UGGGGAAUAUUGCACAAUGGGCGCAAGCCUGAUGCAGCCAUGCCGCGUGUGUGAAGAAGCCCUUCGGGUUGUAAAGCACUUUCAGCGGGGAGGAAGGCGGUGAGGUUAAUAACCUCACCGAUUGACGUUACCCGCAGAAGAAGCACCGGCUAACUCCGUGCCAGCAGCCGCGGUAAUACGGAGGGUGCAAGCGUUAAUCGGAAUUACUGGGCGUAAAGCGCACGCAGGCGGUCUGUCAAGUCGGAUGUGAAAUCCCCGGGCUCAACCUGGGAACUGCAUUCGAAACUGGCAGGCUAGAGUCUUGUAGAGGGGGGUAGAAUUCCAGGUGUAGCGGUGAAAUGCGUAGAGAUCUGGAGGAAUACCGGUGGCGAAGGCGUCCCCCUGGACAAAGACGGACGCUCAGGUGCGAAAGCGUGGGGAGCAAACAGG
rnacentral:rRNA from 1 species